rnacentral:lncRNA from 10 species
CCAAGGGCAGAUGGAAGGUUCUCAUCCCUCUGAGCAGGGCUGGCAGAGGUGGCAGGAGCCAUCAAGGGUAUUAGUCUUUGUUUCAGUAAAGUGGUUUAUGCAUUUUGUGAGCUUCUCAGCAAAACAAUAAAGCAGUUUAUGCAUUUGUGAGAUGCGGAUCAGAGGUGGAAUUUCCUUUCUUCUCACCACCAUGAUCCACUUUUUAUUUCAUUUUUAUCCUGAGUGUGUCCUUUCUGUUUCUCAGGCGGCUUCCACAAGCAACACCUAGCCUUUUGGGAGUCCUGGUGUGCUGUCAUUGUUUACUUGAUUUCUCAACACCUUUCUCCUGCCUGAAGUGCUGCCUAACAAGGAUUUUAAAAAAUUAUAUUACUGUGAUUUCCCUUGCUCUUUUAUUUUCUCUCUUUUAACGUGAAAGGAAAUAUGUCUUUAUGCAAUCCCCCCACCUCUCAUCUUGGUGGGGUGCUUCUCAUCAAGUAACAAUCCUCUCACACCCCUGAAGGUGUAACCAGAACAGCUGCAGGUGGGGCCAGGAAGGGCAAGAGUGGAUCCCAAGAUCCUCCAGGUUGACACGUCACUCCUGAAAACAUUCUGCUUUAAACAGAAGCCACUUCGCUGCUCUGACGUGAAUUUCUAUAACCAAGACAUACUCUUCGACCUAGAGAGAUCAAGGCAUGAAAAAAUGGAACUUCUCAAGGAUGAGGAAACAGACUUUGAGAGGUAAAAUAACACGACGGAAUCUAUGCACUACCUGAUGGCUGAGCUGGGACUUAUCCCCAGGUCCAGUGGCCUCUAGAGCACAGGUGUGUUACUACCACCCCAUUCUGCCCAAGUGAAGCAAGCAGCAGAGAAAUAAUAUGCAGGUUUGCUUUCCAAGGAACCCAAAUGAAGAUAGAAUGACUCAAAGAGAAGAUGUAUAGAAGUACUUACAGCAUGUGGCACAUGGUCUCUGUGCCUGGGCACCAAGCAGACUGUGGUAUCAAUUACAGUGGACCCUGUGCAUCCCUCAGCCAUCCAGGCAGGUGCAGACACUCCUCAGGCUAGGGAUAGCCUCAGGAGACUGACUCAGCCAGAAGGUUGCCCUGGAGAAGACCAGGUAGUCCCUGUUGGCAUGCUCAGAGGACGUGUAGAUCUCUCAUGGAUGGUCAGGACAAUCACCAGUACCAGGAUAUCUGGAUCAGGUAAAAGAUAUUCCAAGAGGAGGUUCAGUUCAGAAGGCAAAUGGGGCAGCAAUCAGCACUGAGAUCCCUGUUCAUACACAAUGGGUAAGAGACCCAGGGACCUAAUUCAGCCCAAGGGAAUGGGUUCAGGUGGCGUCUGGGUGAGAAUCAGGGCCAGCGACCAUCAUCUGGGACUGAGAGGACAACUCAAUUCAGAGGCAGAAAUUCAGAUUUCUUGAGGGGCAAUCUAGCAUUUAUCUUUGAAUUAGCAUGAAUUCUUAUAGAAAUGCAGUGUUGCUUUAUAUGUAUAUGAUUUUGAGUUUACACAAAUAGUACAGUAUUAUGAACCUUGUUCUGUAUUUCACUUUUUAAAUCCUAGCACUGAUUUUUUAAAAACAUUUUCUUUCAGGUAUAUUUGUUUAUUUAUUUACUUAUGUAUAACUUUUAUACAGUAACAUGAAAAAUAUUAAGUGUGUAGCUCAAUGAAUUUUUAAUAACAGCUUUGUUGAGAUCUAAAAUCUCAAUCACUGAUCAUAAAAUUCACAGUUUUAAAGUUUCAGUAGUUUUUGGUAUAUUCACAGUUGUGCAAUCUUUACCACUGUCUAAUGCAGAAUAUCUUCAUCACCCCCAAAAUAAAUCCUGUACCCAUUAACAGUCACUUCCUGUUCUUCCCUGCUCCUCACCCGUGCACCCAUUAGUCUACUUUCUGUCUUAUGGAUUUGCCUCUGCCUCUGUGGAUGUUGGAUAUUUCAUAUAAGUAGAAUCAUAUAUGACCUUUCAUUUCUGGCUUCUUUUACUUAGUAUAAUGUUUUCAAGGUUCACCUAUGUCGUGGCAUGCAUAAGUACUUCAUUUCUUUUUACUGCUCAGUAAUAUUCCAUUGUAUGGAUAUACCACAUUUUGUUUAUCCAUUCUUCAGUUGAUGGACAUUUGGGUUGUCUCCACAUUUAAGGUAUUAUUGACAUGAAUAAUGCUGCUAUGAACAUUCAUGUAUAAGUUUUUGUGUGGACAUGUAGUUUCAAUUCUUUUGGGUGUAUACCUAUGAGUGGAAUUCCUGGAUCACAUGCUAAUUAUAUCUUUAACAUUUUGAGGAACUGCCAAACUGUUUUCCAAAAUGGUUGCACCAUUUUACAUUCUCACCAGGAAUAUAUGAGGGUUCCAAUUUCUCUACCUCCUUGCCAACACUUGUUAUUUUCUUUUUAAAUUAUAGCUAUCCUAGUGGGAGUGAAGUGGUAUCUCAUUGCACAUUUUUUUUUGCAUUUUCUGAAUGACUAGUGAUGUUGAGUAUUGUUUCAUGUGCUUAUUUUAGUGACCAUUUGUAUAUCUUCUUUGAAUAAAUAUCUACUCAAGUGUUCAUUGAAUUUUGACAUGUGUCAAGUUACCCUCGUGUAACUAUCACCCAAAUCAAGAUACAGAACAUUUCUACCUCCCUAGAAGACUCCCCUGUUCUUCUUCCCAGUCAACUUCUUUCCCCAAGAGUAACUAUUAUCCAUUUUUAUUUAUUUAUUUAUUUAUUUUUGAGAUGGAGUCUCACUCUGUCGCCCAGGCUGGAGUGCAGUGGCACAAUCUCGGCUCACUGCAACCUCUGCCUCCCGGGUUCAAGCAAUUCUCCUGCCUCAGCCUGCCGAGUAGCUGAG